rnacentral:lncRNA from 1 species
GGCAAUGAUCGCUGCACCUUCUGCACCCGAAGCUGUGGCCUGGGCCAGGAGAGCACCAGCAAAGGUUGCCAGCCUUGCCGCCAUGGGACCUUUAAUGAUCAGCCCAAUGGCUCCUGCAAAAACUGGACAAUGUGCUCUGGAAACCAAAUCCUGGUGCCUGGAACUCCAGCAAAAGAUGUCAUUUGCAAACAUGCUUCAGUUAAUUCCACUUUAGUCACUACUCUACCUACAACAUCUCUUGACAUUCCAUUUUAUAUCACUGUGCCAGGGAAGGAUGUUCAGGCAGACACAAUCAGGAUUUCUCUCGCUGUGGCUGGGCUGUCGUGCUUGAUGUUCCUGCUGCCUUUGUGCAUCUGCUUCAGUGUCUGGCAGAAAAAGAAACUACACGCUGUCUUCAAGAAAAUGCACACACCUGAACAGUCAGUUCAGGAGGAUGAUGCCUGCAGCUGCCACUUCCCUGAGGAAGAACAAGCUCAAGUCUUCUCUCUAUUGGUACUUCCAACCAUUACAUCAAAAUCAAACUUGAAGGCAUGAACAGGACACAUGAAAAGCCACCAAACUUUUUAUAAAGCUAUCUGUUUAUAAAUCAAAGAAUGACCUUUGCAUCAUUGACUAUAUAUUAGAACAAGAUAAAAAGACUAUUUCUGCCCGUCAUUAAUUUCUAGCCCAAACAGAAGGUAGAGAAUUAAUAUAUACAUCCUGUAACUCAAAACAUCUGGUGUUUUCUCCUUGGAAAAAAAGAGAUAAUGACUGGAAUGUUACAUGUUGCUACUAAAUUCUGCAUAUAUUUUGAAAUGCUUCAAAUAAAGUGCAAACCCCUUAUUCCUCUUGUCCA